rnacentral:rRNA from 1 species
UACAGGGGGUGCAAACGUUGCUCGGAAUUAUUGGGCGUAAAGCGUGCGCAGGCGGCCUUGCAAGUCGGGUGUGAAAUCUCGGAGCUUAACUCCGAAACUGCAUUCGAUACUGCCGUGCUUGAGGACUGGAGAGGAGACUGGAAUUUACGGUGUAGCGGUGAAAUGCGUAGAUAUCGUAAGGAAGACCAGUGGCGGAAGGCGGGUCUCUGGACAGUUCCUGACGCUGAGGCACGAAGGUCAGGGGAGC